rnacentral:rRNA from 1 species
GACGAACGCUGGCGGCGUGCUUAACACAUGCAAGUCGUGCGGUAAGGCCCUUUCGGGGGUACCCGAGCGGCGAACGGGUGAGUAACACGUGAGCAACCUGCCCUUCACUUUGGGAUAACUGCCGGAAACGGUGGCUAAUACCGGAUAUGACUUCCUCACGCAUGUGGGGUGGUGGAAAGCCUUCGGGUGGUGGGGGAUGGGCUCGCGGUCUAUCAGCUUGUUGGUGGGGUGAUGGCCUACCAAGGCUUCGACGGGUAGCCGGCCUGAGAGGGUGACCGGCCACACUGGGACUGAGACACGGCCCAGACUCAUACGGGAGGAAGCAGUGGGGAAUAUUGGAAAAUGGGCGAAAGCCGGAUCCAGCAACGCCGGGUGAGGGAUGACGGCCUUAGGGUUGUAAACCUCUUGCGCCUGCGAAGAAGAGAGUGUGACGGUAGCAGGUAAAGAAGCACCGGCCAACUACGUG